UACAGAGGGGGCAAGCGUUGUUCGGAAUUACUGGGCGUAAAGGGCGCGUAGGCGGCCUGUUAAGUCGAACGUGAAAUCCCCGGGCUCAACCCGGGAACUGCGUCCGAUACUGGCAGGCUCGAAUCCGGGAGAGGGAUGCGGAAUUCCAGGUGUAGCGGUGAAAUGCGUAGAUAUCGGGAGGAACACCUGUGGCGAAAGCGGCGCACUGGACCACAACUGACGCUGAGGCGCGAAAGCUAGGGGAGCAAACAGG
rnacentral:rRNA from 1 species